ensembl:snRNA U6 U6 spliceosomal RNA
GUGGUCCCUUUGGCAGCACAUAUUCUAAAAUUGGAACAGUACAGAAAAGAUUUCAUGGCCCCAUGCAAGGAUAACUCGCAAAUUCAUGAAACAUUCCAUACUUUU